rnacentral:rRNA from 1 species
UUUCUUCUUAACAUGAAGCCCACCGUGGAAUCGGGUUAACCGGAGAUACGGUAGGAAGCUUGGCAAAGCACCUUACGUCUUGAGGUGUCCGGUGCGCUCUCGACGCCCCUUGAAAAGUGAAGGGAAGCGUUCAUUCUCAUACCUGGCCGUACUCAUAACCGCAUCAGGUCUCCAAGGUGAACAGCCUCUGGCCCAUGGAACAAUG